UUACGUUUUUGGGAAAUCAACGGUUUGAAUUCUGAAGUUGCGGAGCACCCCAUCUCUCUCUACACGAAACCCAUUCUCUCUCUCUCCUGCCCAACCUCUCAUGCCAUUUCUCUCUGUCCUGCAGCCCAACCCCGUAAGUCAUUUCUCUCUCUAUCUCACACAGAAACCCUCCCUCUCUCCUCACAAACCAACCUAUCUCGCAGCACAACCCACCUCUCCCUCUACACAAAACAACCAUAUAUCUCUCUCUCUCAUGCAGAACAACCCUCUUGCUCUAUCCAUUUCUCUCCCUAACCCCAAGAAUCCCUGUCUCUCACAGUAGAGAGGCCCAAAAUCGCAGAAGAAGAAAAGCAAAAACAGAGCCCUCUUUCUCGUAGUAUAAACACCAAAAAUCGCAGAUAUAGGCAUGGGAUUUUUUGUUAGGGUUUCGUAGAAAUAGGGUUAUUUUCAAAGUCCACUAUAAGAUUCGGUCCCCUAAGAACAUGUGACAUGAGUAUUGAUGGAUAUCAUUGGUCGGAAAAUCAGCUUAUAUAAAGUAUUAGAAUUUGCUGUUACGCAAGGCUCACAUUGGAUCUUCAUAACAGGUCGAAAAGAUGCUCCACAGAAGAUACGGAAAUGUUUUGCAAAAGAUUCAAAAUCCAUUUUUGGUUACACGCUCCUUGACAUAAGUCAUGAGCUAUUUUUUGUUACAUGCUCCAUAGUUAUAGUGAAUGUGGUGAUUGUGUUGUAUGGAAAUGGGGCAGUAAAGAGUCAUUUUUUUGGUAAAAUGAAGUUUUGUAAUGGAGAUGUUUUGUGAAUCUAGUGAUUGUGUUGUAUGGUAAUGGCCGCAGUAAAGAAUCAUUUUUUGGUAAAAUGCAGUAUUGUAAUGGACAUGUGUGGUGAAUGUGGUGAUUGUAUUAUAUGGAAAUGAUUCAAGAGUAAA